rnacentral:rRNA from 1 species
GGAGGGAUCAUUACCGAGUUAUCCAACUCCCAACCCCUGUGAAUCAUACCUUUAAUUGUUGCUUCGGCGGGACUUCGCGCCCGCCGGGGACCCGAACCUUCUGAAUUUUUAAUAAGUAUCUUCUGAGUGGUUAAAAAAAAAUGAAUCAAAACUUUCAACAACGGAUCUCUUGGUUCUGGCAUCGAUGAAGAACGCAGCGAAAUGCGAUAAGUAAUGUGAAUUGCAGAAUUCAGUGAAUCAUCGAAUCUUUGAACGCACAUUGCGCCCGUCAGUAAUUCUGGCGCCGCCAUGCCUGUUCGAGCGUCAUUACGCCUCAAGUCCCCUGUGGACUUGGUGUUGGGGAUCGGCGAGGCUGGUUUUCCAGCACAGCCGUCCCUUAAAUUAAUUGGCGGUCUCGCCGUGGCCCUCCUCUGCGCAGUAGUAAAACACUCGCAACAGGAGCCCGGCGCGGUCCACUGCCGUAAAACCCCAACUUUUUAUAGUUGACCUCGAAUCAGGUAGGACU